rnacentral:rRNA from 1 species
GGGCCCGCACAAGCGGUGGAGUAUGUGGUUUAAUUCGAUGCAACGCGAAGAACCUUACCAGGGUUUGACAUCCUGCGAAUCUCUUGGAAACAGGAGAGUGCCUUCGGGAACGCAGUGACAGGUGGUGCAUGGCUGUCGUCAGCUCGUGUCGUGAGAUGUUGGGUUAAGUCCCGCAACGAGCGCAACCCACGUCCUAUGUUGCCAGCACGUGAUGGUGGGGACUCAUAGGAGACUGCCGGGGUCAACUCGGAGGAAGGUGGGGAUGACGUCAAGUCUUCAUGCCCCUUAUGUCCAGGGCUUCAAGCAUGCUACAAUGGCCGGUACAAAGGGCUGCGAAACCGUAAGGUGGAGCGAAUCCCAAAAAGCCGGUCUCAGUUCGGAUUGGGGUCUGCAACUCGACCCCAUGAAGCUGGAAUCGCUAGUAAUCGGAUAUC